rnacentral:rRNA from 1 species
UACAGAGGUCCCAAGCGUUGUUCGGAUUUACUGGGCGUAAAGGGUGCGUAGGUGGCGGGGUAAGUCUGGUGUGAAAGCUCCGAGCUCAACUCGGAAAAGCAUUGGAAACUAUUCCGCUAGAGGGUCGGAGGGGAGACUGGAAUUCUCGGUGUAGCAGUGAAAUGCGUAGAUAUCGAGAGGAACACCAGUGGCGAAGGCGAGUCUCUGGACGACUCCUGACACUGAGGCACGAAAGCUAGGGGAGCAAACGGG